ensembl:lncRNA
CAUUGGUUCAGCCCAAAGCGGGUUAGGGGUGUUGCGGGGAGGCUUCCAUAGAUGGAUUCAAAGAUUUUUCUGACUGGCAAUUGGUUGAAAGAGUUAAGCUAUGCCUGAAGAGUUGAAGUUGGCAUAAAGAAAUGCUUGAGCUAAGAUAAGAGGGUUAUAGAAGCCAAGGAUCUUGUCUGCAGAUGAAACCUCCAGGUAGCGGCCUUCAGAAAGACUAGGUGGUAAAUGCCUUAAAUGUCUUUUAUCUGACCUUAAAAGAUAUGAAACUCUCCAGAAAAGACCUAGUAAGGGAAAAGAGAACCAUUUCAAAAUACAUCAAAAAACACAUUUUGGAGUAAAAUACUUUUAAUUUCCCUCAAGGACCUCUAUCUAUCAUGUGAUGCUAUAUCAGAGUCAGGUUGGAAUUUUGUAUCUUACUGUUAGGAAGUGUCUCUUUUGUCACUCUUAUAAUCUUUAUUUUAUGUUAAUGCUGGUCAGUUGUGCCUAAACUCCCAAGGGAGGAGGGUAUAACAACGCAGAGUGUCCAACCACCCUUCCUGUCUUGGCCUGAACUCGUUUUUCCGGUCUCUUUGGGAUCCCCUUGGCCAUGAGGGGUCUGUUCAGUUUGUUGGGGGCCUUAGAACUUUAGUUUUUGUUUCCAUAUCUUAGGACAUUAUUUUGCCUCAUCCCAGAUCUGUCCUAUUUCCUAAAAUACUGCGCUUUAAAAUAUACCCACGUUAACCCCAGUCAUAAUACAGAUUUUCUCACUCAACAAGACUCAAGUAUGCAGAAGACAAGCUGAUCACAACGAAUCCUACAAAGUGAAUGACUUAUUCAUGAGAUGCUUGCUUUAAGUGGUGAUUGAGGUUAAUCCUCAAAACUGCUCUUGAUUUCCACAGAUUUUUGCCUGGCGUUGAGCAUCCACAGAUCCUCUCAAUGCCCUGUUAUUUCAUUCGGACUUUCCUGGAAACAGAAUCGCCUCCUAUGGCUGAACCAACAGAAGCCAGGUGAUGGGGGAGCCUUUGAUGCAGACAUGGAGAUGAGAAUAUGUAUGGAUGCAUGGAAAAGAAAAUUGCUUAACCAUUUUAUCAAGAAAGACUAGAAAAUCAGAAUAAAGCAGCUCUGGGUAAGAGAGCUAUGAAUAGAUUUACAGGAACAGGAAGGAGGUGUGGAGAUCCUUCUAUUACAUGUUAAUGGUCACUAGCGAACAUCCACUAUAAAACAGCAUCCCACUAAGUCACCAAUAGACACAAGAGAAUAUGUGGCCUGUUGACAUUUGCCGGCCUCUAUCAUUAGAUGCCAAUGUUUAAACCACAGUGCAUGAAUAGCCGUGGUAGCAGGAGUGGGGCUAUGCAUGGAUCCAGAAUAUGCACUCCAACUCCACAGCUCUGACCCAGACACCAAGGCCAACAAAUAUUCAACCUUUCAGCAACAGAAACCACCGAUGAUCCUCAUCCCUGCUUAGGUAUGGUAUUAGCCCUUGAGACCAACCAGCCAUGUGGUAGAAAGUUGAACAUCUUCUACCCUGGAAAGGUCAUCGAUUCAUUUUUGUACAAAUGAGUUCAUGUUUCUGGGUUGGAUUUGCUGUUCAUGCUUGCAGGGCCUCAGCUGGCACCAGUAUCUAAAGGCUUAGAGAGUUAGUGAUCCACCAACAUGGCAUCUCACAUAACAUCCCAUCAAACCAAGUGACCCACUGUACAAAAAAGAAGGUGCAUGAGUGGAACAAGCUCUACUAGCGCCAUCAUAGACUGCACCAUCCAGAA